CCAACUGUUUACCAAAAACAUAGCCUUUAGCUAAACAAGUAUUAAAGGUCCCGCCUGCCCAGUGACUAUUAAACGGCCGCGGUAUCCUAACCGUGCAAAGGUAGCAUAAUCACUUGUCCCCUAAAUAGGGACUAGAAUGAACGGCUAAAUGAGGACUAAACUGUCUCUUGCAGAAGGCCAAUGAAACUGAUCUUCCAGUCCAAAAGCUGGGAUAUUAUCACAAGACGAGAAGACCCUGUGGAGCUUAAAACCUUAACCACUAAACAUGUUCUCUUCUGGUUUUUAGUUGGGGCGACUUCGGAGUACAAAAACCCUCCGACAAAACAUUAUUGAGAUUUACACAUCAAAAUAGCCAACUUGACCCAGUAGUUUUAGCCAAACUAUCUGAUCAAUGAACCAAGUUACCCCAGGGAUAACAGCGCUAUCCCCUUCUAGAGUCCAUAUCGACAAGGGGGCUUACGACCUCGAUGUUGGAUCAGGAUACCCUAAUAGUGCAACCGCUAUUAAGGGUUCGUUUGUUCAACGAUUAAUAAUCCUACGUGAUCUGAGUUCAGACCGG
rnacentral:rRNA from 1 species